rnacentral:rRNA from 1 species
GACGAACGCUGGCGGCGUGCCUAACACAUGCAAGUCGAACGGAAACGCCCUGCUUUUGUGGGGUUCUCGAGUGGCGAACGGGUGAGUAACACGUGAGUAACCUGCCCUUGACUUUGGGAUAACUUCAGGAAACUGGGGCUAAUCCCGUAUAGGAUCUCCUGCUGUAUGGUGGGCGUUGGAUAGUUUCGGCGGUUGGGGAUGGACUCGCGGCUUAUCAGCUUGUUGGUGGGGUAGUGGUUUACCAAGGCCUUGACGGCUAGCCGGCCUGGGAGGGGGACCGGGGACAAUGGGACUGAGAUAGGGACCAGACUGAGACGGGGGGCAGAGGGAGGAAAUAUGAAACAAGGGGCAGGAGCGUGAGGCGGAAACGCCGAGGGCGGGAUGACGGCCUGCGGGUUAUGAACCGAUUUCGCCUGUGACGAAGCGGGAGUGAAGGUAAUGGGUAAAGAAGCACCGGCUAACUACGUG